rnacentral:rRNA from 1 species
AAUCCAUAGGUUAAUGAGGCGAACCGGGGGAACUGAAACAUCUAAGUACCCCGAGGAAAAGAAAUCAACCGAGAUUCCCCCAGUAGCGGCGAGCGAACGGGGAGGAGCCCAGAGCCUGAAUCAGCAUGUGUGUUAGUGGAAGCGUCUGGAAAGGCGCGCGAUACAGGGUGACAGCCCCGUACACAAAAGCGCAUGUGCUGUGAGCUCGAUGAGUAGGGCGGGACACGUGGUAUCCUGUCUGAAUAUGGGGGGACCAUCCUCCAAGGCUAAAUACUCCUGACUGACCGAUAGUGAACCAGUACCGUGAGGGAAAGGCGAAAAGAACCCCGGCGAGGGGAGUGAAAAAGAACCUGAAACCGUGUACGUACAAGCAGUGGGAGCACAGGUUUACCUGUGUGACUGCGUACCUUUUGUAUAAUGGGUCAGCGACUUAUAUUCUGUAGCAAGGUUAACCGAAUAGGGGAGCCGGAGGGAAACCGAGUCUUAAUUGGGCGUUAAGUUGCAGGGUAUAGACCCGAAACCCGGUGAUCUAGCCAUGGGCAGGUUGAAGGUUGGGUAACACUAACUGGAGGACCGAACCGACUAAUGUUGAAAAAUUAGCGGAUGACCUGUGGCUGGGGGUGAAAGGCCAAUCAAACCGGGAGAUAGCUGGUUCUCCCCGAAAGCUAUUUAGGUAGCGCCUCGUGAAUUCAUCUCCGGGGGUAGAGCACUGUUUCGGCUAGGGGGCCAUCCCGGCUUACCAACCCGAUGCAAACUGCGAAUACCGGAGAAUGUUAUCACGGGAGACACACGGCGGGUGCUAACGUCCGUCGUGAAGAGGGAAACAACCCAGACCGCCAGCUAAGGUCCCAAAGUCAUGGUUAAGUGGGAAACGAUGUGGGAAGGCCCAGACAGCCAGGAUGUUGGCUUAGAAGCAGCCAUCAUUUAAAGAAAGCGUAAUAGCUCACUGGUCGAGUCGGCCUGCGCGGAAGAUGUAACGGGGCUAAACCAUGCACCGAAGCUGCGGCAGCGACACUGUGUGUUGUUGGGUAGGGGAGCGUUCUGUAAGCCUGUGAAGGUGGCCUGUGAGGGUUGCUGGAGGUAUCAGAAGUGCGAAUGCUGACAUAAGUAACGAUAAAGCGGGUGAAAAGCCCGCUCGCCGGAAGACCAAGGGUUCCUGUCCAACGUUAAUCGGGGCAGGGUGAGUCGACCCCUAAGGCGAGGCCGAAAGGCGUAGUCGAUGGGAAACGGGUUAAUAUUCCCGUACUUGGUGUUACUGCGAAGGGGGGACGGAGAAGGCUAUGUUGGCCGGGCGACGGUUGUCCCGGUUUAAGCGUGUAGGUGUGUGUUCCAGGUAAAUCCGGUUCACUUUAACACUGAGGCGUGACGACGAGGCACUACGGUGCUGAAGCAACAAAUGCCCUGCUUCCAGGAAAAGCCUCUAAGCAUCAGGUAACAUCAAAUCGUACCCCAAACCGACACAGGUGGUCAGGUAGAGAAUACCAAGGCGCUUGAGAGAACUCGGGUGAAGGAACUAGGCAAAAUGGUGCCGUAACUUCGGGAGAAGGCACGCUGACAC